rnacentral:snRNA from 1 species
CAAUUCUUAUGUUAAGAGACAGG